CCUACGGGGGGCUGCAGUGGGGAAUAUUGGACAAUGGGCGAAAGCCUGAUCCAGCCAUGCCGCGUGUGUGAAGAAGGCCUUCGGGUUGUAAAGCACUUUCAGUGGGGAAGAAAGCCUUGGGGCUAAUACCCUCGAGGAAGGACAUCACCCACAGAAGAAGCACCGGCUAACUCCGUGCCAGCAGCCGCGGUAAUACGGAGGGUGCGAGCGUUAAUCGGAAUUACUGGGCGUAAAGCGCGCGUAGGCGGUCUGAUAAGCCGGUUGUGAAAGCCCCGGGCUCAACCUGGGAACGGCAUCCGGAACUGUCAGGCUAGAGUGCAGGAGAGGAAGGUAGAAUUCCCGGUGUAGCGGUGAAAUGCGUAGAGAUCGGGAGGAAUACCAGUGGCGAAGGCGGCCUUCUGGACUGACACUGACGCUGAGGUGCGAAAGCGUGGGUAGCAAACAGGAUUAGAUACCCUUGUAUC
rnacentral:rRNA from 1 species